GAAUAUGAAGCGAUACAUUGCAAUUAGUUUCGACCUAAUCUUAGGUAAUUUUAUACCCUUAUUCU
rnacentral:tRNA from 2 species